CCUACGGGAGGCAGCAGUGGGGAAUAUUGCGCAAUGGGCGAAAGCCUGACGCAGCGACGCCGCGUGAGGGAUGAAGGUUCUCGGAUCGUAAACCUCUGUCAGAAGGGAAGAAAUUAUAUCAUGCUAAUCAGUGGUGUAUUGAUGGUACCUUCCAAGCAAGCACCGGCUAACUCCGUGCCAGCAGCCGCGGUAAUACGGAGGGUGCGAGCGUGAAUCGGAAUGACUGGGCGUAAAGCGCACGUAGGCUGUAUGACAAGUCAAGGGUGAAAUGCCACGGCUCAACCGUGGAACUGCCUUUGAAACUGUCCAACGGGAGUAUAGGAGAGGGCGGCGGAAUUCCUGGUGUAGGGGUGAAAUCCGUAGAUAUCAGGAGGAACAUCAGUGGCGAAGGCGGCGGACUGGCACGAAACUGACGCUGAGGUGCGAAAGCGUGGGUAGCAAACAGGAUUAGAUACCCCUGUAGUC
rnacentral:rRNA from 1 species